CUGCCUGUGUGCCGUCAUGCUUCCCACUAUAAUGCUAAUGGACUAAACCUCUGAACUGAAAGAGAUGACCAUACCUGUCACGCCUGCUGUAUGAGAUGCUAUGCAGCUGUAAUGAGGUUGUCAGGGCAGUGUCAUGGCCACAGCAGAAGUGAAGAUGAGCAGAUGGUGUCAACCUGACAGAAGAGACAGGCUGAGACAUGACCAAAGUGACAGGAGAAUAUGUGGAAGAGUUCGAGGUGACAAUAAUCCUUUUCUGUCGUGGCUUUGCACAGAGACAUUUGAACAUCUGUGUGGGUUAAAAGUUCAGUCAGCAAAAGGAGAGAGCCCCGGGUGGUGGCUAAAGUCAGAGCACUUUGAGCAACCAAGCAAGUCAAGUAGCAUAUUUCAGAAAAUAAAAUAAAACUCUCGGCUAUGGAUGGAAACAAAUGAUGGAAGAAGCCAACUGCCUGGAGAAGAAUUCCAAGUAAUUUUACAUACAUAUUCCAUGUUCAAGGAUGUGGAGUCUAACUCCCCAUUUCUUAACUGUGGGCUGAGAACUGUGAUAUCCUUCCUAAGGACUUAGUGUGGAAAUGGGGGAAAGACCACUUAGAGAGAAGCCAUCUGAUAAACACUUCCUCAGCCAGGGAUGAAGGUCAACAUCACCUGUGAUGGGUUAUGGGGGAAAAAUGUACCCAUGAAAACACAGAAUUCAAAUAUCAUUGGAAUUUUACAGUCUCCGUCAAAAACCCAGAACCACUGAAUGAUUGUGAGAAAAAUGCCCGACAAAUCCAAAUGAAUGCACCUUAUACAAGCAUAGUCAACCACCACUUUUCAAAACAGACAACACAGCACACACCACCACCACCACCACCACCAUCAGGACCACCAGCAGCAGCAGCAGCAGCAGCAACAAAACUGAAAAACUGUUAGAGCCAAGAAGAGUCAAAUAAGACAAAAUGACUAAAUGUAACAUGGUAUCCUGUAUGGGGCCCUGGAUCACAUGAAGGGAAUUACAUAAAAUACAAAAACAAUGUGAACAAGUUGUAAAUGUUACUUACUAGUGAUUUGUUGAUUUUGGUGCAUUAACCAUGAUUAAGAAAUACAUCCUGGUAUCUAAGA